AGAUUGAACGCUGGCGGCAGGCCUAACACAUGCAAGUCGAGCGGUAGAGAGGUGCUUGCAUCUCUUGAGAGCGGCGGACGGGUGAGUAAUGCCUAGGAAUCUGCCUAGUGGUGGGGGAUAACGUUCGGAAACGGACGCUAAUACCGCAUACGUCCUACGGGAGAAAGCGGGGGACCUUCGGGCCUCGCGCCAUUAGAUGAGCCUAGGUCGGAUUAGCUAGUUGGUGAGGUAAUGGCUCACCAAGGCGACGAUCCGUAACUGGUCUGAGAGGAUGAUCAGUCACACUGGAACUGAGACACGGUCCAGACUCCUACGGGAGGCAGCAGUGGGAAUAUUGGACAAUGGGCGAAAGCCUGAUCCAGCCAUGCCGCGUGUGUGAAGAAGGUCUUCGGAUUGUAAAGCACGUUUAAGUGGAGAAGGUUGUAACGUUAAUAACGUUGACUAACGUUUGACGUUUACCGACAGUAAUAAGCACCGGACUAACUCGUAGCCAGCAGCCGUACG
rnacentral:rRNA from 1 species